rnacentral:rRNA from 1 species
UACGGGGGGGGCAAGCGUUGUUCGGAAUUACUGGGCGUAAAGGGCUCGUAGGCGGCCAACUAAGUCGGAUGUGAAAUCCCCAGGCUUAACCUGGGAACUGCAUCCGAUACUGGAUGGCUUGAAUCCGGGAGAGGGAUGCAGAAUUCCAGGUGUAGCGGUGAAAUGCGUAGAUAUCUGGAGGAAUACCGGUGGCGAAGGCGGCAUCCUGGACCGGCAUUGACGCUGAGGAGCGAAAGCUAGGGGAGCAAACAGG